AAUAUUCUCGAGAUAAUUUCUCGUUUUAUUUCGCAAAAAAUAAAUCGUUUCCAAAAAGAAAACACAUUUCGCUCGCCGGGACAAAUCCGUAUGUCUUUUAUCUUCUAUCCCGCGCGUUGUUAAACGGAUGCGGCUGUCUGUGCGUCAUUCAUAGCGAAUUGUACGAAACCCGUCAAAAAGCCUCCCGACAAAUAACCUACUAUCGACAUGAAGCGGUAACGCGAUAACGGCAAAAAGUCGCUCGACAAGACGCCAUC